AUGGUUCAAUGCCUAAUUUUCGGAGAAGUUUCUGCUUUUGUCAUGGACCUGUCUGAACCUUAAGAAACCUGUCAGAUGAUGGCAGUGAUUGAACGGAGGGAGAAAUCUGAGAAUUGCAACUGUUCCUAAAAUGACUCCCAAUUCCUGGUCAGCACCAGGUGGCCUCUGUCUAUAGCCAGUUCUCCUUUUGGAAGGUAUUCUGCAGAAAAGGAAUCCAGUCUUCCGGUAUAUUCCAGCAUCCAGGGCUGUCUAUAAGAUCCUGUUGCAGAAUGAAUUCUGCAAACAAACAGAAUCCUGGCAUCACCUUGCAAACCCCACCCCUUUAGAGUCAUGUUUGCAAUAUUAUGAAACACAUAAAAAAGGAUUGAGGCUUCCAUCAUGAAUCCCAAUGCUCAUUUUCACCAAUCUGGUCCCUGCUUGUUUGUCCUGCAAACUAUGUCGGCUGGCGACACCCAGGGGGAAAGCCUUCUCUGUGGAAGCUCCUGCUCUUUGGAACGAACUGCCCCCGGAAAUACGCACAAUCUCUGACCUCCGAGUUUUUCGCUGUGCCCUCAAGACCCUGCUCUUCCGACAGGCAGGGUUAUCUUUGUAAAGGAAUUUUAAAUUCGGAGUUUUAAAUUUUUGGGUUUUAACGAAUCUUGGCUGUAAAUGUAAUAAUUUUAAUAAUUUUUAAAUUUAA